AAGAGAGUCAAAGAGUGCUU
rnacentral:snRNA from 1 species